rnacentral:rRNA from 1 species
AUUGAACGCUGGCGGCAGGCCUAACACAUGCAAGUCGAGCGGCAGCGGGGAGUAGCUUGCUACUUUGCCGGCGAGCGGCGGACGGGUGAGUAAUGUCUGGGAAACUGCCUGAUGGAGGGGGAUAACUACUGGAAACGGUAGCUAAUACCGCAUAACGUCGCAAGACCAAAGAGGGGGACCUUCGGGCCUCUUGCCAUCGGAUGUGCCCAGAUGGGAUUAGCUAGUAGGUGGGGUAACGGCUCACCUAGGCGACGAUCCCUAGCUGGUCUGAGAGGAUGACCAGCCACACUGGAACUGAGACACGGUCCAGACUCCUACGGGAGGCAGCAGUGGGGAAUAUUGCACAAUGGGCGCAAGCCUGAUGCAGCCAUGCCGCGUGUAUGAAGAAGGCCUUCGGGUUGUAAAGUACUUUCAGCGGGGAGGAAGGUGUUGAGGUUAAUAACCGCAGCAAUUGACGUUACCCGCAGAAGAAGCACCGGCUAACUCCGUGCCAGCCGCCGCGGUAA